CAUUUAUAACGUCUGUGAAAGGACUGGCAGCGCCAUUCGCUUUAUGCAGCUAGCGGCCAUAUUGAAUGACGUCGACAACAAAAAACGAGGCUAGGGUGGGAAAAUAAGGAAGCUUCUCAUUCAAAACAAUGGCUGGCAAAUGGACAAGCAACCUGCAGAUACUACCACCAAUUACAGUCACAUCGAUCUACAAAUGGGCUGAUGAAUACCUCAGAAUUCUGAAACUGGUCCAGACUAAAGGAUACAGCAAUUGGAUCGAGGAUAUAUCCACAAUGUUGAAGGUGGACCUUUCACCUGAGUCUCUUCAUUGAAAAGUCAGUGCAACUGCAAUGCUGGACAAGGACAGUAUAAUCACCUUAUUGGUUUGCUGUACACUUCAGCACACUACAUCAACAUGGGAUGCAAGACUGUCCCUCCCACAGAGAGCAAAACCUCUUUACCCCAGACCUGGCACGUCCCAUCACGCGCCUUGGGUUUGAGAUAUAAACCCAUCAAUACUGUGGAGAUCUCAAAGAUACCCAGAAAGGACAUGCCCCCUGUAAAGAAGGUGCGCUCAGGUGAGGGGAUAGUAAGCAACCUCUACUGACCAGUACCACUCCCCCUGCACAAAGCCUUAAGAACAACCUCUCUGACAUUGGAAACACGUCAACUCCUCACACUCAUGAACUCCCCAGCACAUCAGCCAAAGAGUGUACCCUCACAAUAUGGGGAUCUGCCCUUUGGGUCUGUCUUGACUUAUCAAAAUCUCAAUGUGCCAGAGCCCACCCCCACUGAUGAUAAACCCACCUUUCCACUGCCUCCACAGGCCAGUAGCUUUACACCUGUUCUGAAUCAAGAUGAGAUGGACCUUUACGGUGGUAUGGAGAUAACAGUCUGACGCAGAACACCUUGAGAGGGAAACUAGAGAGCAAAGUAACAAAGUCUGGCAUUGUGUGCGCUCUCAGUGCAUUACCUCAUCUAAUUUCAAAAGGGUGUGCUCAAGGCAAGCAGGCAUGGACAGCCUUGCUACAAAUCUACAGAGGAGUAAAAUAAAUGGGCAGACCAAGGCAAUGAAAAGGGGGCUUGAGCUAGAAUCAGUGGCUGCAGCAAUAUACACAGAAAUCUCUGGCAGAGACGUCUUACCACGUGGCUUUGUGAUUAACCCCCAUUGUCCCGAUUUAGGUGCAUCCCCAGACAGAGAGGUGGUUGACCAAUCUGAGACUCCUCCUCAUGGCCUCUUAGAAAUGAAAUGCCCAGAUCAGAACAGCUACGAGGGUUGUCCAUAUCUCACUUCAAAUGCAGAUGGUACUUUCUUUUUAAAACAGAAUCACUAGUACCACUAUCAAAUGAUGGGACAAAUGGGUAUCACAGGAACCAAAUGGUAUGACUUCUUUGUGAUGUGCAACGACAACUAUCACUUGGAGAGAAUAUAUACAUUGAGAAGCCCAAAACUGGGUUGACGCAAGACAAACAAUUUAAUAAUCAAAAAUAAAUAUUUCCUGAAUAACUGUAGUAGAUAAGCUUUACACAAGGGGAUGCUACCGUUGGCAGGCAAGCAGAGGCUUCUGAACGUAAUCAUGGUCAGGGUGUGGUACGCUUGCCUCCACCUCUUCGCCAGAACUGCAAGGUGAAAAGGAAGGCAAGAAAAUUGUUUUUAACAAGCCCAACUACAUGCUCUUAAAAUGAAUACUAUCAGCUCUACAUCUUCUAUUCCAAAUACAGGCCAUGCAAAUGAAUACAUCUUCCUUUUCUGUUAGUAGAACGCUUACAGAAAAAUAACUCAAAAUUAACUUGCAUGGCCUAUAUGUAGAGUAGACUGGCAGAAACUAAUGUAUUCAUUGUGAAAGAUUGUAAAUGGGAGCUAGUGACCGAGGUUAAACCAAAUAUUGUAAACUCACAAAAACACUAAAGUGACUGAAGUUCAGAUAGCAAGUCUAUACCUGACUAUGAUUUGGCAAGCCAGGUUCUCAGCUUGAGGGUCCUGAUCCAGUGAGUCACUGCAGAUACAAGGUUAUGUUACAUAAACCUGCUAUGAACAAUUGAAAAUUACAGAAAAGAUACACAUGUAAUAAUAAACAACUACCUUAGCUCA